CCAAGUGGUCUUAGUUGUUCAACUACUGUAAUCACCAGCCAGUCCAUAAAGAGGUUGUGAAUUUGAACCCUGCUCAUGCUGGUGCAAUCAACUCUAAUGUAAAUUAACAAUGAUUGUCGUUUUUCCUAUUGAAAAUCAGUGGUUUUUUCGGGGGAAUCUGGCUUCCUCUUCCAAUAAAAACUGACCGCAUAAAAUUGCACAAUAGUGUUGACAGUAGCUUUAAACACCAAUUAAACAGUGAAUUUUUAGUUGCCAGUGCUCAUCUUGCAUUUGUUAAGCCUUGGUGUUCGAGUGGUCUUCUUAUCGCAAUAAAAAUAAGGAAAUGUGGUAUGAUUGUUUAUGAGACAAAUAUCCACCAGAGACCUAAAUGAAGUGGAUGUAAGUAACUAUAGGCUGUCAACAAUAAGUGGUGCCAAGCC
rnacentral:lncRNA from 1 species